GUGAGGAAUAUUGGACAAUGGGCGCAAGCCUGAUCCAGCCAUGCCGCGUGCAGGAAGACGCAUCUAUGGUGUGUAAACUGCUUUUGUACGGGAAGAAACACUCCCUCGUGAGGGAGCUUGACGGUACCGUAAGAAUAAGGAUCGGCUAACUCCGUGCCAGCAGCCGCGGUAAUACGGAGGAUCCAAGCGUUAUCCGGAAUCAUUGGGUUUAAAGGGUCCGUAGGCGGGUUAAUAAGUCAGUGGUGAAAGCCCAUCGCUCAACGAUGGAACGGCCAUUGAUACUGUUAGACUUGAAUUACAAGGAAGUAACUAGAAUAUGUAGUGUAGCGGUGAAAUGCUUAGAUAUUACAUGGAAUACCAAUUGCGAAGGCAGGUUACUACUUGUGGAUUGACGCUGAUGGACGAAAGCGUGGGGAGCGAACAGGAUUAGAUACCCCAGUAGUCC
rnacentral:rRNA from 1 species